rnacentral:rRNA from 1 species
UACAGAGGGGGCAAGCGUUGUUCGGAAUUACUGGGCGUAAAGGGCGCGUAGGCGGCCUGCUAAGUCGAACGUGAAAUCCCCGAGCUCAACUCGGGAACUGCGUCCGAUACUGGCAGGCUUGAAUCCGGGAGAGGGAUGCGGAAUUCCAGGUGUAGCGGUGAAAUGCGUAGAUAUCUGGAGGAACACCGGUGGCGAAGGCAGCUCGCUGGGACGGUACUGACGCUGAGGCGCGAAAGCGUGGGGAGCAAACAGG